rnacentral:rRNA from 1 species
UACGUAGGGGGCUAGCGUUGUCCGGAUUUAUUGGGCGUAAAGCGCGUGUAGGCGGCCAGAUAGGUCUGCUGUGAAAACUCGAGGCUCAACCUCGAGACGCCGAUGGAAACCAUGUGGCUAGAGUCCGGAAGAGGAGAGUGGAAUUCCUGGUGUAGCGGUGAAAUGCGCAGAUAUCAGGAAGAACACCCGUGGCUAAGGCGGCUCUCUAGUACGGUACUGACGCUGAGACGCGAAAGCGUGGGGAGCGAACAGG